GAUAUAGAGGUGAAUGCCUUGGCUUGUGUUACACAUAGGUGCAGGGGUAUAAACCUUACCUUACACUGAUAUAGGGGUGAGCACCUUAUGUUACAAAUAGGGGCAGGGGUAUAAACCUUAUCUUACACUGGUAUAGGGGUGAAUUCCUUAUGUUACAUAUAGGGGCAGGGGUAUAAACCUUAUCUUACACUGAUAUAGGGGUGGAUGCCUUAUGUUACACAUAAGGGCAGGGGUAUAAACCUUAUCUUACACUGUAGGGGUG